rnacentral:lncRNA from 1 species
ACAUGAGUGAUGAGGAGUGGCUGCAAAUACAGAUGAAGCUUCGUUUGCUCACUUCCUGUUGUGUGGCCCAGACAGGGCACUGUCUGUGGCCCCAGGGGUUGAGGACCCCUGGCUUUAACAACAGAAAGGUACCAUCUUACAGUUCUGGAGGCCAAAGUCUGAUAUCCAGACCCCAGUUACUGGAUUGGGAUCCACCCUCACUCAAUAUGGCCUCAGCUUAAUGAAAGACAUCUGCAGAGACCCUAUUUCUACUAAAAGCCACAUUCUGAGACUUCUCGUGGGCGUGAGUUUUUGAGAGACACUGUUCUGCUCCAUGCAGGGAGGGAAUUGGGAUCUGAAGACGUUGCAUUCGAGGUCUCGGGGCUCCUGAUGAGCAGCCUCGGCCUGACCUGGGGCAGGUGUGAUGUCUGCGGCUCACCAUCUCCACCCUGCCUGCUGUGGAAUCUCCACAACGACAGGUGCUUUGGAGGCCAGAGUGCAUGCGUACGGGCCCUGCACACGCUGAAUGUCACUGGGAACAAGGACACACCCCGCUUCCAGGAGAAGAUAGAACAUGUCGACCCCUUUUAGCCAUCCCCAGUGCAGGACAUGCUAUUGACUUCCAUGAGACAAACACCUACUUGGAAAUCAGGUUUUUUCUGUACCUUUUGAAGGAGCAGGAAUUUCCCAGCAUUUCCUGGACAAAGACGGAGGCCACAUUCGCUGCAUCCUUUCCAGCAAGAUGUCAUUCUGAGAUUUUUGUCAUUCCUGGGCGUUAUGAGGACUGCCAAGGGACACAAUUCCAUGGGAGGAAAGUUUUCUUCUAAGCUGCAAGCCAGCUCUGGCUUCUGGAGUUUCUCCUUAGGAUUGCAAGACAGUAGUUCCCUGUCCUUUAGGUCUUCUCCAGAAAUACCUUAAAAUAGCAAAUAAAAUAAGAUAUAAGCAAACAAAACCUGAAGUUAA